CCUACGGGAGGCAGCAGUGAGGAAUAUUGGUCAAUGGACGAGAGUCUGAACCAGCCAAGUAGCGUGAAGGAUGACUGCCCUAUGGGUUGUAAACUUCUUUUAUAUGGGAAUAAAAUGUUCCACGUGUGGGAUUUUGUAUGUACCAUAUGAAUAAGGAUCGGCUAACUCCAUGCCAGCAGCCGCGGUAAUACGGAGGAUCCGAGCGUUAUCCGGAUUUAUUGGGUUUAAAGGGAGCGUAGGUGGAUUGUUAAGUCAGUUGUGAAAGUUUGCGGCUCAACCGUAAAAUUGCAGUUGAAACUGGCAGUCUUGAGUACAGUAGAGGUGGGCGGAAUUCGUGGUGUAGCGGUGAAAUGCUUAGAUAUCACGAAGAACUCCGAUUGCGAAGGCAGUUCACUGGACUGCAACUGACACUGAGGCUCGAAAGUGUGGGUAUCAAACAGGAUUAGAUACCCCUGUAGUC
rnacentral:rRNA from 1 species